GACAGCCGUGUGUAGUUGUAUUUCGUGUCAGAACAGAACACUAGUAAACUGUGUAGCUUGUAAUAACUAAUAAAUUAAAUCGGUUUGGCUGGUGAGUUUGUCGGUGUCGGGGAAAUUGCAUGUUGUGUCGGGACACAGGUCGAAAACUUCAAUCACAAAAUAGUUGUCGAAAUGGCCAGUGAAAGUUCAGCAAGUGUUAUUCCAAGGGCUGAAGUGGUGCGUGGACAGGUGUUUGAGGUUGGUCCGCGCUACACGAAUUUAGCAUACAUGGGCGAGGGGGCAUAUGGAAUGGUUGUAUCCGCCUACGACAACGUGACAAAGACAAAAGUAGCAAUUAAAAAAAUAUCUCCUUUCGAGCAUCAAACAUACAGCCAAAGGACUCUACGGGAAAUCAAGAUAUUAACGAGAUUCAAGCAUGAGAACAUUAUCGAUAUAAGAGAUAUUUUGAGGGCUCCUUCGAUUGACCAAAUGAGAGAUGUAUAUAUCGUUCAAUGUUUGAUGGAAACUGAUCUGUAUAAGUUAUUAAAAACGCAGGCUAUAAGCAACGACCACAUAUGUUACUUCUUGUACCAAAUACUUCGUGGUCUAAAGUACAUACACUCCGCAAAUGUGUUACACAGAGACCUUAAGCCCAGCAAUCUUCUUUUGAAUACGACAUGUGAUUUGAAGAUUUGUGACUUUGGUCUGGCGCGGGUUGCUGAUCCUGAUCAUAACCAUGCCGGUUUUCUUACGGAAUACGUCGCUACAAGAUGGUAUAGGGCUCCAGAAAUAAUGCUCAAUUCCAAGGGAUACACAAAAUCCAUAGAUAUUUGGUCAGUGGGCUGCAUUCUUGCUGAAAUGUUAUCACGACGAGCAAUAUUCCCCGGGAAGCAUUAUCUUGACCAACUAAAUCACAUUCUUGGCGUUCUGGGAUCACCAUCAUCUGAGGAUUUGGAAUGUAUUAUAAAUGAGAAGGCACGCAGCUACCUUCAAUCAUUGCCGUAUAAACCAAAGGUGCCGUGGACGAGUUUAUUUCCGAAGGCAGAGGCCCGGGCUCUCGAUCUUCUCGAUAAAAUGUUGACUUUUAAUCCCAACAAACGGAUUGUAGUAGAAGACGCCUUGGCACAUCCUUAUCUAGAACAGUAUUAUGAUCCAGCCGAUGAGCCCGUGGCUGAAGAGCCCUUUAAAUUUGAUAUGGAGUUGGACAACCUGCCAAAAGAGAUUCUAAAAAAAUACAUAUUCGAGGAAACGGCACAUUUUUCGCAUAAACAAGAGAAUACUAUGUAAUGGUCUGGAACGCGUGCAACGAUAUAUUUUUCAACUUUAUGCGAAGAUAUCUCCAACUAGUUCUGGUAAGCCCAAAGCAUUAAGUACUUUUUCAACGAUAAUUUUAGGUUCGUCAGUAAUAUCAUUCGGCAAACCUGACAGUGACAAGUCUGAAUUUUUCGAAUCAGUUUCAACGCAACUAACGCAAGCAUUAACGCUAUCAAGUUUUGUAGUUAUCGCAGCAUUGUCCAGACAUGUUUUCGUCUCAAGAUUUUCUAAACGUGUGCGGAAGUGUGAAACUGGAGGGGAGAAUUGUCCCCUCGAAACUGACGAUUAUACGGUGUCACAUUGUCGAAGCCGAGUUACAAGAUAAAAUGAGUGGAGCUCAAUGUCAAGUUCUGCAAACGAGAAAUAAAUAAUAUAUCGGAAGGUAUUGCUGGAGAGUGAAACCGCGACUACAUUGUCCUUGGUUUUCAUCAUCAAACGUCAAAAAACAAUACAAACAUCGUCCCACCACAUGAGUUAUUAAGUACACACGAAGAAGAACAAAGCACAAAUAUAGCUAGUUUAAGUCCAAAUGUUGUAUGUGAAAAUGUAUUAAUGAAGUGACUGAAAACAUUGAUAAACGUUUUUUUUCUCCGGACUACUGUAAGUUUGUAAAAAGGACAAUUUGUGAUCACUUCAAAAGAAAAUUCUGUCUUUAUCGACAAACUAAAUUUCAUUGUUUACUCAACGAUUCGUACUCUUUCGAAGCUCUUUCUUCUCUGUUAUAGUCCUUGAUUAAUUAUUCAAGCUAUUAUAGUUUUUACGGAAUUAUUUUUAUGGUGGAACUUUUUUCACUUAUAUUGAGUUCAUAAUAAAAGAACAAACAGUAGAAAGAAAAUGUUAAA